rnacentral:sRNA from 1 species
GCUGGGUGUGUUGGUGCACGUCUGUAAUCCCAGCAGCUUGUGAGGCUGAGGCAGGAGGAUCUCAAGUUCAAAGCCAGCCUCAGCAAAAGGGAGGCGCUAAGCAACUCAGUGAGUCCCUGUCUCUA